rnacentral:rRNA from 1 species
UAACACGUGGGUAACCUACCUAUAAGACUGGAAUAACUCCGGGAAACCGGGGCUAAUGCCGGAUAACAUGUUGAACCGCAUGGUUCUACAGUGAAAGACGGUCUUGCUGUCACUUAUAGAUGGACCCGCGCCGUAUUAGCUAGUUGGUGGGGUAACGGCCUACCAAGGCGACGAUACGUAGCCGACCUGAGAGGGUGAUCGGCCACACUGGAACUGAGACACGGUCCAGACUCCUACGGGAGGCAGCAGUAGGGAAUCUUCCGCAAUGGGCGAAAGCCUGACGGAGCAACGCCGCGUGAGUGAUGAAGGUCUUCGGAUCGUAAAGCUCUGUUGUUAGGGAAGAACAAAUGUGUAAGUAACUGUGCACAUCUUGACGGUACCUAACCAGAAAGCCACGGCUAACUACGUGCCAGCAGCCGCGGUAAUACGUAGGUGGCAAGCGUUAUCCGGAAUUAUUGGGCGUAAAGCGCGCGUAGGCGGUUUUUUAAGUCUGAUGUGAAAGCCCACGGCUCAACCGUGGAGGGUCAUUGGAAACUGGAAAACUUGAGUGCAGAAGAGGAAAGUGGAAUUCCAUGUGUAGCGGUGAAAUGCGCAGAGAUAUGGAGGAACACCAGUGGCGAAGGCGGCUUUCUGGUCUGCAACUGACGCUGAUGUGCGAAAGCGUGGGGAUCAAACAGGAUUAGAUACCCUGGUAGUCACGCCGUAAACGAUGAGUGCUAAGUGUAGGGGGUUCCGCCCCUUAGUGCUGCAGCUAACGCAUUAAGCACUCCGCCUGGGGAGUACGGUCGCAAGACUGAAACUCAAAGGAAUUGACGGGGACCCGCACAAGCGGUGGAGCAUGUGGUUUAAUUCGAAGCAACGCGAAGAACCUUACCAAAUCUUGACAUCCUUUGACCGCUCUAGAGAUAGAGUUUUCCUCUUCGGAGGACAAAGUGACAGGUGGUGCAUGGUUGUCGUCAGCUCGUGUCGUGAGAUGUUGGGUUAAGUCCCGCAACGAGCGCAACCCUUGAACUUAGUUGCCAUCAUUCAGUUGGGCACUCUAAGUUGACUGCCGGUGACAAACCGGAGGAAGGUGGGGAUGACGUCAAAUCAUCAUGCCCCUUAUGAUUUGGGCUACACACGUGCUACAAUGCACAAUACAAAGGGCAGCGAAACCGCGAGGUCAAGCAAAUCCCAUAAAGUUGUUCUCAGGUCGGAUUGUAGUCUGCAACUCGACUACAUGAAGCU